GUUAAGAUUUAUCUGAUCUCGCCAGAAUAAUGUGAAACUGCUACGUUUUGGUUGCUAUGAACAAUAUUUUGAGUUAGUUUCUGCAUAAAAAUAAGGUUUGAUUACAUUUUUAGCGAGAAAUAUAUAUUUGUCAACCCGUUCUCACUCCUGACCGUUCUCACGCUGAAGAAGUCUCCUUCAGAACACAUCGCGAUAUUUGGCAUCAGUUCGCGUGUGCUGGAUGUUGGUAAGUAGUCGUAAAUACGCUGUUCUAAUGUUUGAUAUAAUGUCUUUUCUGUUUGCAGAUAUUAAUCAGAUUAACGUUAGCUCCCUCAUGUUCAGUCACUGCAUUAUAUCUGUCACCUCCGCUAAGGUUUUGCUUUUCAUUGUUUUCUAUAUUAAAUACUAAACUAGGGUGAUUAAACACUGUCACGUGACGUGCAAUAUAUUGCACAAUAUAUAUAACAUAUUCAUAUCAGGUUCAAAGUAGUACAAGUGUAGUUUCAAAAUGGUAUUUGUUGUAGAAGCACGGUAAAAAACAACACUUACCAUGGUUUUUACCACAGUAUUGGUAGUUUUAAUGUGAUUUUUGUUGUAAAUACAGAGUAACCACAACACUUAUCAUGCUUUUAAUGCCUAAUAAUGUUAAAUCCAAAAACUGUAAGGUCAAUAAGAACUUCUUUCCUAUAUAUAUUUAUAUAUAAACCUAUAUAUUAUAAAUAAUGAUAUUUUCUUUUCUCUUGUUUUAGCUGAAAAGACAAAAAGGGCCUUUCGGAAAUGGAUGAAGGAGACAGAAAGCUGCAAAGGCAAAUAAUUGCAAUGGAUUACUUGCAGAUUACUUAGUCCUUCUUUUUAGGAUCUCUACAACAUCAAACUCAACAGCUCUUUUAAGAGCCGACCCUCACAAGAGCUACUAGUGAGUCGCUGCAAACCUGCCGUGAUCAGCCCUUUCCAGAGAAGGAAGACCAGUCCUUAUAUCAAAACAAGCUCAUCGAAGUCCUUUGUUUAGGGUGAGGAAGGAACAUGACCAUCUCAUGCCCAAAGAAGACAGAAGUCCAUUGAUAGUAAGUGAAGUCACUAACAGAAGAUCCUAGAGGAAAAACGACUGAUGUGCAGCUACGGAGGAACACAAGAGGCAGAAAUAUGCAUGGCCAUGGCUUCUUCAUGAGUACGACCAGGACUGAAGAACGCCUGACAAUGGGAUGUUAAGACUUCUUCCUCUGGUUGAGAAAAAGCUACAGCACAUCAGUGAUCACAUCUUCUGGUCAUCAGUUGUACUGUAGAGUACAACUGAACAAACUGUUUAGAAGAAGAACAUGAACAUGAUAGAGACGUGUACAGGGAAGAGCAAGAACCCAGUUCAGCUGUGAUAAUGAAUCUUUAUUUUAAACUCAAUAUCAAAUCUGUUUUCUGGAUCAUAGUUGACUGGAUGGGAUUCUGUGGCGCUCAUUUGUGCAAUAGGAGUAAAGUCUGUGAAUGGAUUAUUAUGACGUUAACGUAUUUUUGAAGACACGUUUUUAUUUAUCUUGAAUCUCAUUUGUCUUUAUGCAAAUUUCAACCUUAUGCUGUAUCCUCCAAUAAAGUGUUGUGUAAUAAA